rnacentral:lncRNA from 1 species
UGACAUUUUCCCAUGGAUUCCGUGCCUAUGCAAAGAAUCCAAAGUUUGGAAAUUGUUUUGAAAUAUUUUGUAACCAUGUUUCCUUGCACAUAUAUGCCCUUUGUUCCUCUGGAUAUCAGAAGACUGUCUUCUUGGCAGCUGAUUUUUUUAUGUACCAGUGAUUUACCAUUUUAAAUUUACCAUAUUAUUUAACCUGAAAUCAAUUUAAUGUUCUAAUUAGAUACACUGGGCGUAGAUUAAUGAAAACCCUAAAAUCACAAAAUCAAGACUGAAUUAUUUUGAUUUUAGUAAAAUCUGCCCAACCCCUAAUUUCAACACCAAAGAUUAGCAUUAGUAUCACAUUUGUUUUUAAAAAUGUUUAAAAUUGGGUGUAAUGACCCUGGAUGUCUGAAAGUCAUCAAUCUGUUUAAAGAUCAUAAAGAGGCAGUUGACUUUAAUUUGUUUAUCUUUAUUUAUAAAUUCCAAGAACCUGAGGCUGAAAAAGAUUAUACUAUGAGAAAUGGGAGCCCUUGAAUCUUUCGCAUUCUUUUUUUCUUUCUUUUAGCAAAUGGUUGCCCGCUUGAAUUUGAAGGCCGGGGAACGCAUUGAAAUCAAAGCCAAGGUGGCCCGAGAAGCCAAAAGGUCUGUAUUAAUAGUGAAAAUGGGAUAUUUACAUUUUCCCCUUGUGGGAGAUUGCAAUCAAAUGCAACUAGCAAACAUAGAGCUAGUUUGUGCAUGAAGGGGUUAAAACAAUAGAACUGUGAUUCCUAGACACAGGUCAUGCCCCUUCUUCUCUGAUGAAGGAGGAAGUGACACCAUCUCUCCCUGUUCCUAUCCCUUUCCUUCCGCCAUGUAAAUCAGCCAGGUCUGGUCUUGAGCAUUUCAAGCACAGAACGCUUGUUCAGAACUGCAAUCUGUAUGUUGUACUCAAGAGUAUUCUAUCUGUGUUCUCUUUGCUGCUGCUUGGAUAAAUGCAUAAACCUGGCCUUUGGAACGGUUUUAUUUACCUUACAUAUAGGCCAGAAUGCCUCGAAUCCGCUCCUUCAAUUUAACGCUCGAUUUAAGACUUUCAACGGAGAUAGGGUCGUCGUUUUUAACUCUGAUAUGGGGAGAGAGCGGGAUCUUCUCUUGGACCUGGAACUAUUCGUCACAGUAGCGUUCUCCUUUAACGCCCAAGAUAUGUUGUUGGAAGUGUUCAACCGGCCAAUUGUUAGACUCCCAACCCCACCGGGAAUGCAAGUGGUGGAGCACCUCGCUGUAACUGGUGAUAUCGACGUUAAGUCCAUCUCAUUCAGCAAUCUCUUUCUUGCCCCUGGAAAUGGUAACUUUUUAAAAUGACGACGUGAUCUUCGAUUCUUCCCGUUAGUUCUUGCGGUGGUUAGUAUGCAAUGUAAGUUUCUUUUAAGAAAGCCGAAGCAGAUUUAGCCAUGUGAAAGACUUGGGAAGUAGCAAUGGGCCGUAUACUUGCUGACUUUUGUUACCACUGUUGCUUUUAUUUUAGAAUAAAGCUGCUCUUCUUACUACUCACUGCCUUGAUUCUUGGAUACAACAAUUCUGUUGGACAACUAUUGCUCAACUUUAAGCAGGUCUUUAAGCAGAGGCUUGACAACCAUAUGUCAGGAGUGCUCUGAUGGUGUUUCCUGCUUGGCAGGGGGUUGGACUCGAUGGCCCUUGUGGUCUCUUCCAACUCUAUGAUUCUAUGAUUCUAUGAUUCUAACUUCCAACAGGUUACAUACGCUUCAGGUUACAUACACUUCAGGUUACACACUCCGCUAACCCAGAUAUAGUGCUUCAGGUUAAGAACUUUGCUUCAGGAUAAGAACAGAAAUCGUGCUCCAGCGGCGCAGCAGCAGCAGGAGGCCCCAAUAGCAAAAGUGGUGCUUCAGGUUAAGAACAGACCUCCAGAAUGAAUUAAGUACUUAACCUGAGGUACCACUGUAUUCCACAAGCUUUGUUUUCCUCUCUAAACGCCAUGCCACCUGGGACAACGCCAUGUUUCUGACGAGGCCAGUGAUAAAAGUUCAGGAUUCAGAAUACAGUGGUACUUCGGUUUACAAACUUAAUCUGUUCCUGAAGUCCAUUCUUAAACCAAAUCUGUUCUUAAACCAAGUAGUGCUUUAUCUAAGGAGGCCUUCCGCCGGCGGUGCCCUUCCACCGUUUGGCUUCCGUUCGCAGACUCAGGCAAAGUUCGCAAACCAGAACACUACUUCUGGUUUUGCAGAGUUCUUAAACUGAAUAGUUUGUAAACAAGACUGUUUAUAAACAGACGUACCACUGUACUUGUAAUGCAAAAGGCUUGAUCUCAGU